ACUGGACCAGGUGAUGUUCUAGAACUAUGGUAACCUAGAACUGGACCAGGUGAUGUUCUAGAACCAUGGUAACCUAGAACUGGACCAGGUGAUGUUCUAGAACCAUGGUAACCUAGAACUGGACCAGGUGAUGUUCUAGAACCAUGGUAACCUAGAACUGGACCAGGUGAUGUUCUAGAACCAUGGUAACCUAGAACUGGACCAGGUGAUGUUCCAGAACUAUGGUAACCUAGAACUGGACCAGGUGAUGUUCCAGAACCAUGGUAACCUAGAACUGGACCAGGUGAUGUUCCAGAACUAUGGUAACCUAGAACUGGACCAGGUGAUGUUCUAGAACCAUGGUAACCUAGAACUGGACCAGGUGAUGUUCUAGAACCAUGGUAACCUAGAACUGGACCAGGUGAUGUUCUAGAACCAUGGUAACCUAGAACUGGACCAGGUGAUGUUCUAGAACCAUGGUAACCUAGAACUGGACCAGGUGAUGUUCUAGAACCAUGGUAACCUAGAACUGGACCAGGUGAUGUUCCAGAACCAUGGUAACCUAGAACUGGACCAGGUGAUGUUCCAGAACCAUGGUAACCUAGAACUGGACCAGGUGAUGUUCCAGAACUAUGGUAACAUGGAACUGGACCAGGUGAUGUUCCAGAACUAUGGUAACCUAGAACUGGACCAGGUGAUGUUCCAGAACUAUGGUAACCUAGAACUGGACCAGGUGAUGUUCUAGAACCAUGGUAGCCUAGAACUGGACCAGGUGAUGUUCUAGAACCAUGGUAACCUAGAACUGG